CAGUAGCCGCGGUAAUACGAAGGGUGCAAGCGUUAAUCGGAAUUACUGGGCGUGAAGCGUGCGUAGGCGGUGAGUUAAGUCUGCUGUGAAAUCCCCGGGCUCAACCUGGGAAUGGCAGUGGAUACUGGCUCGCUAGAGUGUGUCAGAGGAUGGUGGAAUUCCCGGUGUAGCGGUGAAAUGCGUAGAGAUCGGAAGGAACAUCUGUGGCGAAGGCGGCUUACUGGUCCAUUACUGACGCUGAGGUGCGAAAGCGUGGGGAGCAAACAGGAUUAGAUACCCCAGUAGUCCCUGUCUCUUAUAC
rnacentral:rRNA from 1 species